rnacentral:lncRNA from 1 species
CAACAAUCAUGUGAGCCUGGGGAGGAUCCUUCCCCACGUGAGCCUUCAGGGGAGACUUCAGCCUUGGCCAUCUUCUCCAUCUAGAUUCCUGACCAAGAGAAACUGACCAUAUAUUCUGUUGCUCUUCACAUCUUGGAAUUAUAUUGUCCAUUUCCAGGGUCAAAGACCACAGAAUAAAUGUCAUCCUGGCAGCAGAAACAGGUUCUAAGUAUGUUGCCCAAGCUGGUCCUGAACUCCUAGCCUCAAGUAAUCCUCCUGCCUCAACCUACCAAAGCAUUGGGAUUACAAGUUUGACCCACCAUGAUCAGUCCAGGGUAGGAAAUGGAAUCUUAACAACUGUCACGUGAGCUUUGAGGGAAUCCUUCUCCAGAUGAGCCUUCAGUUGAGACCUCAGCCUUGGACAUCAUCUACAUCUGGAUUCCUGACCCAGAGCAACUGCUUAGUUUUCUAAAGAUAAUUCUGCCUUCAAGCCUUGUUGGAAUUCUGUGAUAAUGUCUUUUCACUCCACGAUCUCCAUCAGGAAUUUUAUGGAACCUUGUAUUCUGUUGAAUACCAGAAUUACAUCAGCAAUCCCCAAGCCCCAAAGUCACCGGAUGGGCAUCAUUAUGACAGCAGAUCACCCAAUUGGCGUGCAUUUCCAGGAAUGCAUUUAUGGAAUAAGAAUAAAUGUUUACUCCCUUUUCCUGGGACAGUUCUAAAGACUCAGACCGUGAUCAUGGGCUACAUUCUCCAUACCAGCUUCAUAGCUCCAGUGAGAAAAUAAAUUCCUGCACCCAGGAGACGUGGAGUAAGAGAUACAGCUGCCCUUGACCAUAUUUCUUACUUCCGAGAAGAUUGUAGCAGUAAUUCAGGUGCUAUUAUUUGGGACAUUUAUAAUUCGAUAAACCUUC